ACGGCUCAGUAACACGUGGAUAACCUGCCCUUAGGUUUGGCAUAACUCCGGGAAACUGGAGAUAAUUCCGAAUAGGUCAAAUAUGCUGGAAUGCUUUUUGGCCAAAAGACCUCGGUUGCCUAAGGAUGGAUCUGCGGUCUAUCAGGUAGUAGUGGGUGUAACGUACCUACUAGCCUACGACGGAUAUGGGUUGUGAGAGCAAGAGCCCAGAGAUGGAUUCUGAGACAUGAAUCCAGGCCCUACGGGGCGCAGCAGGCGCGAAAACUUUACAAUGCGGGAAACCGCGAUAAGGGGACACCGAGUGCCAGCAUUUAUGUUGGCUGUCCACAUGUGUAAACGGCAUGUGUUAGCAAGGGCCGGGCAAGACCGGUGCCAGCCGCCGCGGUAACACCGGCGGCCCGAGUGGUAAUCACUUUUAUUGGGUCUAAAGGGUCCGUAGCCGGUUUGAUCAGUUCUUCGGGAAAUCUGACAGCUCAACUGUUAGGCUUCCGGGGAAUACUGUCAGACUUGGGACCGGGAGAGGUAAGAGGUACUACAGGGGUAGGAGUGAAAUCUUGUAAUCCCUGUGGGACCACCAGUGGCGAAGGCGUCUUACCAGAACGGGUCCGACGGUGAGGGACGAAAGCUGGGGGCACGAACCGGAUUAGAUACCCGGGUAGUCCCAGCCGUAAACGAUGUUCGCUAGGUGUCAGGGGCGGUGCGACCGUUUCAGGUGCCGCAGGGAAGCCGUGAAGCGAGCCACCUGGGAAGUACGGCCGCAAGGCUGAAACUUAAAGGAAUUGGCGGGGGAGCAC
rnacentral:rRNA from 1 species